AUUGAACGCUGGCGGUAGGCCUAACACAUGCAAGUCGAGCGGAUGAAGGGAGAUUGCUCCUGGAUUCAGCGGCGGACGGGCGAGUGAUGCCUAGGAAUAUGCCUGUUUGCGGGGGAUAACGUGCGGACACGGGGGCUAAUACCGCAUUCGCGCUGAGGGCGUAAGUGGGGGAGCUUCGGAUCUCCCGCCAUCACACGAGUCUAGGUCGGAUUAGCUAGUUGGUGGGGUAAAGGCCUACCAAGGCGACGAUCCGUAACUGGUCUGAGAGGAUGAUCAGUCACACUGGAACUGAGACACGGUCCAGACUCCUACGGGAGGCAGCAGUGGGGAAUAUUGGACAAUGGGCGAAAGCCUGAUCCAGCCAUGCCGCGUGUGUGAAGAAGGUCUUCGGAUUGUAAAGCACUUUUAGUUGGGAGGAAGGGCAGUAAGUUAAUACCUUGCUGUUUUGACGGUACCAACAGAAUAAGCACCGGCUAACUUCGUG
rnacentral:rRNA from 1 species